ACGAACGCUGGCGGCGUGCCUCAAACAUGCAAGUCGAGCGGGGUUCUGGAAGUGGGCGACCACGGAAGGGACCUAGCGGCGGACGGGUGAGUAACGCGUGGGUAAUCUGCCCAAGGGACCGGGAUAACACCUCGAAAGGGGUGCUAAUACCAGGUGACCCUGGUGCUCCGAGUGGGGGACCAGGGAUAGGUGGCCUCUUGACAAUGCUACUGCCCCUUGGAUGAGCCCGCGUCCCAUUAGCCAGUUGGCGGGGUAAAGGCCCACCAAGGCGACGAUGGGUAGCCG
rnacentral:rRNA from 1 species